rnacentral:rRNA from 1 species
UACGUAGGGUGCAAGCGUUGUCCGGAAUUAUUGGGCGUAAAGAGCUCGUAGGCGGUUCGUCGCGUCGGCUGUGAAAUCCCGAGGCUCAACCCCGGGUCUGCAGUCGAUACGGGCGGACUGGAGUUCGGCAGGGGAGACUGGAAUUCCUGGUGUAGCGGUGAAAUGCGCAGAUAUCAGGAGGAACACCGGUGGCGAAGGCGGGUCUCUGGGCCGAUACUGACGCUGAGGAGCGAAAGCGUGGGGAGCGAACAGG